rnacentral:rRNA from 1 species
ACGGAAGGCAGCAGUGGGGAAUAUUGCACAAUGGGCGAAAGCCUGAUGCAGCGACGCCGCGUGAGUGAAGAAGUAUCUCGGUAUGUAAAGCUCUAUCAGCAGGGAAGAAAAUGACGGUACCUGACUAAGAAGCCCCGGCUAACUACGUGCCAGCAGCCGCGGUAAUACGUAGGGGGCAAGCGUUAUCCGGAUUUACUGGGUGUAAAGGGAGCGUAGACGGUUUGGCAAGUCUGAAGUGAAAUGCGGGGGCUCAACUCCUGAACUGCUUUGGAAACUGUCGAACUAGAGUGCAGGAGAGGUAAGUGGAAUUCCUAGUGUAGCGGUGAAAUGCGUAGAUAUUAGGAGGAACGCCAGUGGCGAAGGCGGCUUACUGGACUGUAACUGACGUUGAGGCUCGAAAGCGUGGGGAGCAAACAGGAUUAGAUACCCUGGUA